CAGCCGCCGCGGGAAUACGUAGGGUGCGAGCGUUAAUCGGAAUUACUGGGCGUAAAGCGUGCGCAGGCGGUUAUAUAAGACAGAUGUGAAAUCCCCGGGCUCAACCUGGGACCUGCAUUUGUGACUGUAUAGCUAGAGUACGGUAGAGGGGGAUGGAAUUCCGCGUGUAGCAGUGAAAUGCGUAGAUAUGCGGAGGAACACCGAUGGCGAAGGCAAUCCCCUGGACCUGUACUGACGCACAUGCACGAAAGCGUGGGGAGCAAACAGGAUUAGAUACCCCCGUAGUCCCUGUCUCUUAUAC
rnacentral:rRNA from 1 species